rnacentral:rRNA from 1 species
AGAGUUUGAUCCUGGCUCAGGAUGAACGCUAGCGGCAGGCUUAACACAUGCAAGUCGAGGGGCAGCGGGGAGGAAGCUUGCUUUCUCCGCCGGCGACCGGCGCACGGGUGAGUAACACGUAUGCAACCUGCCCCUGUCAGGGGGACAACCCGCCGAAAGGCGGGCUAAACCCGCGUACAUGCCACCGGGGCAUCCCGGAGGCAGGAAAGGCUUCGGCCGGACAGGGAUGGGCAUGCGGCGCAUUAGGCAGUAGGCGGGGUAACGGCCCACCUAACCGACGAUGCGUAGGGGUUCUGAGAGGAAGGUCCCCCACACUGGUACUGAGACACGGACCAGACUCCUACGGGAGGCAGCAGUGAGGAAUAUUGGUCAAUGGUCGGGAGACUGAACCAGCCAAGCCGCGUGAGGGAGGAAGGUACAGAGUAUCGUAAACCUCUUUUGUCAGGGAACAAAGGCGGGGACGUGUCCCCGGAUGAGUGUACCUGAAGAAAAAGCAUCGGCUAACUCCGUGCCAGCAGCCGCGGUAAUACGGAGGAUGCGAGCGUUAUCCGGAUUUAUUGGGUUUAAAGGGUGCGCAGGCGGUCUGUUAAGUCAGCGGUCAAAGCCCGGGGCUCAACCCCGGCCCGCCGUUGAAACUGGCAGUCUCGAGUUGGAGAGAAGUAUGCGGAAUGCGCGGUGUAGCGGUGAAAUGCAUAGAUAUCGCGCAGAACUCCGAUUGCGAAGGCAGCAUGCCGGCUCCACACUGACGCUGAGGCACGAAAGCGUGGGUAUCGAACAGGAUUAGAUACCCUGGUAGUCCACGCAGUAAACGAUGAAUGCUGGCUGUCCGGGGGGACUGACCCCUGGGUGGCGAAGCGAAAGCGAUAAGCAUUCCACCUGGGGAGUACGCCGGCAACGGUGAAACUCAAAGGAAUUGACGGGGGCCCGCACAAGCGGAGGAACAUGUGGUUUAAUUCGAUGAUACGCGAGGAACCUUACCCGGGCUCAAACGGGGAGUGGCGCAGGCAGAGACGCCUGUUUCCCACGGGACACUCCCCGAGGUGCUGCAUGGUUGUCGUCAGCUCGUGCCGUGAGGUGUCGGCUUAAGUGCCAUAACGAGCGCAACCCCCGCGUGCAGUUGCUAACAGUCAACGCUGAGGACUCUGCACGGACUGCCGGCGCAAGCCGCGAGGAAGGCGGGGAUGACGUCAAAUCAGCACGGCCCUUACGUCCGGGGCGACACACGUGUUACAAUGGGUGGUACAGCGGGAAGCCAGGCGGCGACGCCGAGCGGAACCCGAAAUCCACUCUCAGUUCGGAUCGGAGUCUGCAACCCGACUCCGUGAAGCUGGAUUCGCUAGUAAUCGCGCAUCAGCCAUGGCGCGGUGAAUACGUUCCCGGGCCUUGCACACACAACCCGUCA